AUACAGAGGGUGCGAGCGUUAAUCGGAAUUACUGGGCGUAAAGCGCGCGUAGGCGGCUUGGUCAGUCGGAUGUGAAAGCCCCGGGCUUAACCUGGGAAUUGCAUUCGAUACUGCCAGGCUAGAAUGUAGUAGAGGGUAGUGGAAUUCCGGGUGUAGCGGUGAAAUGCGUAGAUAUCCGGAGGAACAUCAGUGGCGAAGGCGACUACCUGGACUAAUUCUGACACUGAGGUGCGAAAGCGUGGGGAGCAAACAGGAUUAGAUACCCCAGUAGUCC
rnacentral:rRNA from 1 species